CCUACGGGAGGCAGCAGUGGGGAAUAUUGCACAAUGGGGGAGACUCUGAUGCAGCGACGCAGCGUGAGUGAAGAAGUAUUUCGGUAUGUAAAGCUCUAUCAGUAAGGGAGAAAUAAAGUCCUUGGGACUUUGGACGGUACUUGACUAAGAAGACCCGGCUAACAACGUGCCAGCAGCAGCGGUAAUACGUAGGGGGCAAGGGUUAUUCGGAUUUACUGGGUGUAAAGGGAGCGUAGACGGCAGGUCAAGUCUGGAGUGAAAUCUCAUGGCUUAACCAUGGAACUGCUUUGGAAACUGUGCAGCUGGAGUACAGUAGAGGUAAGCGGAAUUCCUGGUGUAGCGGUGAAAUGCGUAGAUAUUAGGAGGAACACCAGUGGCGAAGGCGGCUUACUAAACUGUAACUGACAUUGAUGCUCGAAAGCGUGGGUAGCAAACAGGAUUAGAUACCCCAGUAGUC
rnacentral:rRNA from 1 species